GUCAGGAUGGCCGAGUGGUCUAAGGCGCCAGACUCAAGGGGAAAACCUUCCACUUAAAUGGGGAUUUCUGGUCUCCGAAUGGAGGCGUGGGUUCAAAUCCCACUUCUGACA
rnacentral:tRNA from 1 species